rnacentral:rRNA from 1 species
AAACUUUACAAUGCGGGAAACCGUGAUAAGGGGACACCGAGUGCUAGCAUCAUAUGCUGGCUGUCCGGGUGUACACCUGUAGCAAGGGCCGGCAAGGCCGGUGCCAGCCGCCGCGGUAACACCGGCGGCCCGAGUGGUGAUCGUGAUUAUUGGGUCUAAAGGGUCCGUAGCCGGUUUGGUCAGUCCUCCGGGAAAUCUAAUAGCUCAACUAUUAGGCUUUCGGGGAUACUGCCAGACUUGGAACCGGGAGAGGUAAGAGGACCUCGAGGGGUAGGAG